AGCAGCCGCGGUAAUUCCAGCUCCAAUAGCGUAUAUUAAAGUUGUUGCAGUUAAAAAGCUCGUAGUUGAAUUUCGGGAUCAAGGAAUCGGUCAUGCCUUGGUAUGUACUGGUUUUAUUGGUUCUCACCUUCUAAAGAACCAUAAUGUCAUUCAUUUGAUGUUAUGGGGAAUUAGGACUGUUACCUUGAAAAAAUUAGAGUGUUUAAAGCAGGCUUACGCUUGAAUACAUUAGCAUGGAAUAAUGAAAUAGGACAUCAGAUUCUAUUUUGUUGGUUUCUAGGAUCGAUGUAAUGGUUAAUAGGGAUAGUUGGGGGCAUUAGUAUUCAAUUGUCAGAGGUGAAAUUCUUGGAUUUAUUGAAGACUAACUACUGCGAAAGCAUUUGCCAAGGAUGUUUUCAUUAAUCAAGAACGAAAGUUAGGGGAUCGAAGACGAUCAGAUACCGUCGUAGUCUUAACCAUAAACUAUGCCGACUAGGGAUCGGAUGAUGU
rnacentral:rRNA from 1 species